UACGUAGGGUGCGAGCGUUAAUCGGAAUUACUGGGCGUAAAGCGUGCGCAGGCGGUUUUGUAAGACAGGCGUGAAAUCCCCGGGCUCAACCUGGGGACUGCGCUUGUGACUGCAAGGCUAGAGUACGGCAGAGGGGGGUGGAAUUCCACGUGUAGCAGUGAAAUGCGUAGAGAUGUGGAGGAACACCAAUGGCGAAGGCAGCCCCCUGGGUCGAUACUGACGCUCAUGCACGAAAGCGUGGGUAGCAAACAGGAUUAGAUACCCUGGUAGUCCACGCCCUAAACGAUGUCAACUAGGUGUUGGGUGGGUAAAACCAUUUAGUACCGUAGCUAACGCGUGAAGUUGACCGCCUGGGGAGUACGGCCGCAAGGUUAAAACUCAAAGGAAUUGACGGGGACCCGCACAAGCGGUGGAUGAUGUGGAUUAAUUCGAUGCAACGCGAAAAACCUUACCUACCCUUGACAUGUCUGGAAUCCCGAAGAGAUUUGGGAGUGCCCGAAAGGGAGCCGGAACACAGGUGCUGCAUGGCUGUCGUCAGCUCGUGUCGUGAGAUGUUGGGUUAAGUCCCGCAACGAGCGCAACCCUUGUCGUUAAUUGCCAUCAUUUAGUUGGGCACUUUAACGAGACUGCCGGUGACAAACCGGAGGAAGGUGGGGAUGACGUCAAGUCCUCAUGGCCCUUAUGGGUAGGGCUUCACACGUCAUACAAUGGUCGGUACAGAGGGUUGCCAAGCCGCGAGGUGGAGCCAAUCCCAGAAAGCCGAUCGUAGUCCGGAUUGCAGGCUGCAACUCGCCUGCAUGAAGUCGGAAUCGCUAGUAAUCGCGGAUCAGCAUGUCGCGGUGAAUACGUUCCCGGGUCU
rnacentral:rRNA from 1 species